rnacentral:lncRNA from 1 species
GCCACAGUGAAAUCCCACCAAGAGAAUUCUCUGAGAUGGUUCACAAGCCCUCAACAGACCCUCCUGGGCACGCCAGACCCCCUGUCAGAUCUCAGCAGCCCCAGUGGAGCUCUGGGGUUCACACAGUCACCAAGAAAAGGGAGUCCAGCAAGUCACUGCGGGUGACCCUAAGGUUAAACCCUGACUUGGCAAUAAAACCUUGAACAUCCUGGGAUACUUUUGAAGUCAUAUUUAAUUCUUUGAAAGCACAGGCA